rnacentral:lncRNA from 10 species
GCUGACGGAUCCACUUCCACGCGCUGUCUUUAGCUGCUCACCAUGUGGCCCUCUCCAUAGGGCUGCUCACCUCAUGGCCUCCCCCAGAACGAGGCAUCCGAGAGAUGGAAGCCAUGGUCUUUUAUAGACUAAUCCUGGCAGGGACCUAUCACCACUAGUGUCAUAUUCUAUUGGUCACACAGACCAGCACUGGCACAGUGUUGGAGGGGACACAGAACUCUGUGCAUCUCAGGAAGUGGGACCAUCGAGGGCCAUGGUGAAGGCGGCACCAUGACAACACUGUGGGGGACAUUAUUCAUCCCAGGUUAUAGAUGAGAGCACUAAAGAUCCCAGAAGUUAACUGAUUUGCACAAGGCCACAACUGGAAGCAUCCAAGGUGGGAUUUGGGUCAAAGUCUGUCUGGACUCCAAAGUCUACAUUCACUUCUCCUAAUCCACGACCUCUCCAAGCUGCAGAUAUGUCAAGGGAGCACCAAGCGGUGCAGUUGACUAGAACGCUGAACUCUGAAUGCCAGGCUGGGGAAACGUGAAUUCCAUUCUGGCUUGAAGGGACACACAGAAGCUCCUGAGCAGGAAAAGCCAUGAUGGGAUUUUCACUUCAGGAACUGGCAUUUCAAAAACAUGCAAGAGGCCAGGCGCAGUGGCUCACGCCUGUCAUCUCAGCACUUUGGGAGGCCAAUGUGGAUGGAUGGCUUGAGCCCAGGAGCUGAAGACCAGCCUGGGCAACAUCAUGAGACCUCGUCUCUAUAAAAAAAUGUUUAAAAAUUAUCUGGGCAUGGUGGUAGGCACCUGUACUUCCCAGCUACUUGGGAGGCUGAGGUGGGAGGAUCACUUGAGUCUGGGAGGUUGAGGCUGCAGCAAGCUGUGAUCGCGCCACUGCACUCCAGCCUGGGUGACACAGCGAGACCCCAUCUCCAGCCGGGAGCCAUGCCUCCUCUCCUUUGGCCUUGUUUGUCUCCCAGAAAACGAGAGAAGGAUCUUGUCGGUCUUCUGAACUGUUGAACCCUCACACCCAUGUUUGCCAGGUCUUGCAGCCAUCAACUUCCCCAGAACCCUGAUGUGUGCAGGGUCCAGGACUGUUCAGAAGGAACGGCUGCUACUCAAGAUAGAGCCAGCAGUUAAAGGAAAUCACCAACUUUUGCUUCUGGUCUUGCCACUAACCAGCUGGCCUUGGGCUAAAAACAAAUAAAGCUGACAUUUAUUGAGCACUGA